rnacentral:misc_RNA from 1 species
AUUUUGGAUGCUGGAGUUUUGCAAAUGGUUGAAUGAUUAACUAAUUGCCAAAUAUUCCUCAUAUACUCUGUUUUCAUGGAGUCAUUGAUGGAUUGAAUAGGUGGACUAUUUAUUUCAGUAUUUUUCUCCCCUUUAUUGAAUUUGUUUAUCUUGUAGAUGAUUGUCGCUUAACAAGUUUAUCAAGUUUGAUUCAUUUCACCAAAUUGUUUUGAAAUUCUUAAAUGCCAUCAUAAGGUUGGAACUAGCUUUUAGUUAGGCUAGAUUUUCUUCUUUCAAUUGUACCUUUUAUGUGAUAAUUUCUUCUACAUACUGAAUUUAGUAGUAAUGAAAGGUCUCUUUU